rnacentral:rRNA from 1 species
CCUGCAUGAAGUCGGAAUUGCUAGUAAUCGCAGAUCAGCAUGCUGCGGUGAAUACGUUCCCGGGCCUUGUACACACCGCCCGUCACACCAUGGGAGUCGGAAAUGCCCGAAGUCAGUGACCCAACCGUAAGGAGGGAGCUGCCGAAGGUGGAGCCGGUAACUGGGGUGAAGUCGUAACAAGGUAUC